rnacentral:rRNA from 1 species
AGUGAACGCUGGCGGUAGGCCUAACACAUGCAAGUCGAACGGCAGCACAGUAAGAGCUUGCUCUUACGGGUGGCGAGUGGCGGACGGGUGAGGAAUACAUCGGAAUCUACUUUUUCGUGGGGGAUAACGUAGGGAAACUUACGCUAAUACCGCAUACGACCUACGGGUGAAAGCAGGGGAUCUUCUGACCUUGCGCGAUUGAAUGAGCCGAUGUCGGAUUAGCUAGUUGGCGGGGUAAAGGCCCACCAAGGCGACGAUCCGUAGCUGGUCUGAGAGGAUGAUCAGCCACACUGGAACUGAGACACGGUCCAGACUCCUACGGGAGGCAGCAGUCGGGAAUAUUGGACAAUGGGCGCAAGCCUGAUCCAGCCAUACCGCGUGGGUGAAGAAGGCCUUCGGGUUGUAAAGCCCUUUUGUUGGGAAAGAAAAGCAGCAGGUUAAUACCCCGCUGUUCUGACGGUACCCAAAGAAUAAGCACCGGCUAACUUCGUG